rnacentral:rRNA from 1 species
CAGGCUUAACACAUGCAAGUCGAGGGGCAGCAUGGUCUUAGCUUGCUAAGGCCGAUGGCGACCGGCGCACGGGUGAGUAACGCGUAUCCAACCUGCCUUACACUCUUGGACAGCCUUCUGAAAGGGAGAUUAAUACAAGAUGUUAUCAUGAGUAAGCAUUUUCGCAUGAUUAAAGGUUUACCGGUGUAAGAUGGGGAUGCGUUCCAUUAGAUAGUAGGCGGGGUAACGGCCCACCUAGUCUUCGAUGGAUAGGGGUUCUGAGAGGAAGGUCCCCCACAUUGGAACUGAGACACGGUCCAAACUCCUACGGGAGGCAGCAGUGAGGAAUAUUGGUCAAUGGACGAGAGUCUGAACCAGCCAAGUAGCGUGAAGGAUGAAGGUUCUAUGGAUUGUAAACUUCUUUUAUACGGGAAUAAACGGAUCCACGUGUGGAUUUUUGCAUGUACCGUAUGAAUAAGGAUCGGCUAACUCCGUGCCAGCAGCCGCGGUAAUACGGAGGAUCCGAGCGUUAUCCGGAUUUAUUGGGUUUAAAGGGAGCGUAGAUGGGUUGUUAAGUCAGUUGUGAAAGUUUGCGGCUCAACCGUAAAAUUGCAAUUGAUACUGGCAGUCUUGAGUACAGUUGAGGUAGGCGGAAUUCGUGGUGUAGCGGUGAAAUGCUUAGGUAUCACGAAGAACUCCGAUUGCGAAGGCAGCUUACUAACCUGUAACUGACAUUGAUGCUCGAAAGUGUGGGUAUCAAACAGGAUUAGAUACCCUGGUAGUCCACACGGUAAACGAUGAAUACUCGCUGUAGGCGAUAUACAGUCUGCGGCCAAGCGAAAGCAUUAAGUAUUCCACCUGGGGAGUACGCCGGCAACGGUGAAACUCAAAGGAAUUGACGGGGGCCCGCACAAGCGGAGGAACAUGUGGUUUAAUUCGAUGAUACGCGAGGAACCUUACCCGGGCUUAAAUUGCAACCGAAUAUGGCGGAAACGCUAUAGCUAGCAAUAGCGGUUGUGAAGGUGCUGCAUGGUUGUCGUCAGCUCGUGCCGUGAGGUGUCGGCUUAAGUGCCAUAACGAGCGCAACCCUUGCCGAUAGUUACUAACAGGUUAUGCUGAGGACUCUGUCGGGACUGCCAUCGUAAGAUGUGAGGAAGGUGGGGAUGACGUCAAAUCAGCACGGCCCUUACGUCCGGGGCUACACACGUGUUACAAUGGGGGGUACAGAGGGCUGCUACCACGCAAGUGGAUGCCAAUCCCAAAAACCUCUCUCAGUUCGGAUUGAAGUCUGCAACCCGACUUCAUGAAGCUGGAUUCGCUAGUAAUCGCGCAUCAGCCACGGCGCGGUGAAUACGUUCCCGGGCCUUGUACACACCGCCCGUCAAGCCAUGGGAGCCGGGGGUACCUGAAGUGCGUAACCGCAAGGAGCGCCCUAGGGUAAAACUGGUGACUGGGGCUAA